AAGUAGCGCAGUUGGUAGCGCGCCAGCCUGCGGAACAAGGGGUCCCAGAAUCGAACCUGGCU
rnacentral:tRNA from 13 species